GCCCAACCCCGAAUCCCGCGGUCGAUACCGGGCGCCGGGAAUUGUGGUGUUAGGGAGGAUCCGUUUAUCCCGAGGUCGUGCGGCGAGUCCAAGUCCUUCUUGAACGGGGCCACAGCCCAUAGAGGGUGCCAGGCCCGUAGCGGCCGCUGCCGAUCGCGGGAGGGUCUCUCCUCAGAGUCGGGUUGCUUGAGAGUGCAGCCCUAAGCGGGUGGUAAACUCCAUCUAAGGCUAAAUAUGACCACGAGACCGAUAGCGAACAAGUACCGUGAGGGAAAGUUGAAAAGCACUUUGAAGAGAGAGUUCAAGAGUACGUGAAACCGUUCAGGGGUAAACCUGAGAAACCCGAAAGGUCGAAAGGGGAAAUUCAUUCGCGUUUCGGCCGUCGGCGAUGGGUAGUCUUGCGACGGACGGCGUUCGCGCGUCGUCCGCGCAUUCUGCUUUUCGAACCGGCGUCGAACGCGUGCACUUUUCCCCUAGUAGGACGUCGCGAUCCGUUGGGUGUCGGUCUACGGCUCGCGGUGGAGUUCGCGUACGAGAUCGUUUCGGCGAUUCGCGUGCUCGAACCCGCGGUGUCCCGGCCGACUCGCUCGACGGUCGAUACAGGUGGCGCGAGGCCGCUACACACACGUUAGCGUCCGACCCACGGCAAGCGCGUUCGAUGCUAAGACGGCGAUCGGACCUAGCGCCGAUUCCGUUACCGGACGACUGUUGGCCGUGCGGAUCUCUCGGACAGA
rnacentral:rRNA from 1 species